AGUGAACGCUGGCGGUAGGCCUAACACAUGCAAGUCGAACGGCAGCACAGUAAGAGCUUGCUCUUACGGGUGGCGAGUGGCGGACGGGUGAGGAAUACAUCGGAAUCUACUUUUUCGUGGGGGAUAACGUAGGGAAACUUACGCUAAUACCGCAUACGACCUACGGGUGAAAGCAGGGGAUCUUCGGACCUUGCGCGAUUGAAUGAGCAGAUGUCGGAUUAGCUAGUUGGCGGGGUAAAGGCCCACCAAGGCGACGAUCCGUAGCUGGUCUGAGAGGAUGAUCAGCCACACUCGAACUGAGACACGGUCCGGACUCCUACGGGAGGCAGCAGUGGGGAAUAUUGGACAAUGGGCACAAGCCUGCUCCAGCCAUACCGCGUGGGUGAAGAAGGCCUUCGGGUUGUAAAGCCCUUUUGUUGGGAAAGAAAAGCAGCAGGUUAAUACCCCGCUGUUCUGACGGUACCCAAAGAAUAAGCACCGGCUAACUUCGUG
rnacentral:rRNA from 1 species